UGACAGCCCCGACCGCCAGUCACGUUUCAGGAUCAAAAUUGUGACAGCCCCGUAGGCCGAUCAUGUUGCAGGUUCUUAGUUUUACUGCCCAGCUGGCCAAUCAUGUUUCAGGAUCCAAGUUUGGUUGAUUUUUCAAAAGGGAAAAGGGCGAAAGAAAUUAAAAGGUCAACAUUGUGUAGACAAUACAACCAGGUUAUUGUGCAUACAGAUGGUAUUGAUGUACAGAAGUCAUAUGCCAUGACGUUCCUACCAUAUCUUUACAUGUUUCCUUGGCGAAUUUCCAUGAGCCAUGUUUGGGUUCAGUGGAGUGAAACUUACUUCAGAGGAACCCCCCCCGACAGCCCUGACCCUUUGAUCCGACCCUGGCAGAUGAAUUCACCUUUCAGCAGGACAGUAACCUAAAACACAAGGCCAAAUCUGCACUGGAGUUGCUUACCAAGAAGUGGUAAGAGUUGCCGAGUUACAGUUUUGACUUAAAUCUGCUUGAAAAUCUAUGGCAAGACUUGCAAAUAUUGUACAACCCAGGUUUGCAAAGCUCUUAGAGACUUAACCAGAAAGACUCACAGCUGUAAUCACUGCCAAAGGUGAUUCUAACAUGUAUUGACUCAGGGGUGUGAAUACUUAUGUAAAUGAGAUACUUCUGUAUUUAAUUUUCAAUAAGUUUGCUUAUUGAUACUUAAAUGGAAGAAGUUUGGAACCACCAAGAUUCUUCCUAGAGUUGGCCAAACUGAGCAAUCGGGGGAGAAGGGCCUUUAUUCAGGGAGGUGACCAAGAACCCGAUUUUUCACUAAGACAGACCUCCAGAGUUCCUCUGUGGAGAUGGGAAAACCUUCCAGAAGGACAACCAUCUCUGCAGCACUCCACCAAUCAAACCUUUAUGGUAGAGCGGCUAGACGGAAACCACUCCUCUGUAAAAGGCACAUGACAGCCCACUCUGAGUUUGCGAAAAGGCACCUAAAGGACUCUCAGACCAUGAGAAAUAAGAUUAUCUGGUCUGAUAAAACCAAGAUUGAACUCUUUAGCCUGAAUGCAAAAGUGUCACGUCUAGAGGAAACAUCCCUACGGUGAAGCAUGGUGGUGGCAGCAUCAUGCUGUGGGGUUGUUUUUCAGAGGCAGGGACUGGGAGACUAGUGAGGAUCAAGAGAAAGAUGAACAGAGUGAAGUACAGAGAGAUCCUUGAUGAAAACCUGCUCAGGACCUCAGACUGGGGCGAUGGUUCACCUUCCAACAUGACAACAACCCUACGCACACAGCCAAUACGACCGAGGAGUGGCUUCGGGACAAGUCUCUGAAUGUCCUUGAGUUGCCCUGCCAGAGACCAUACUGGAACCUGAUCGAACAUCUCUGGAGAGACCUGAGAAUAGCUGUGCAGCGACGCUCCCCAUCCAACCUGACAGCGCUUGAGAUGAUCUGCAGAGAAGAAUGGGAGAAACUCCGCAAAUAUAGGUGUGCCAAUCUUGUAGCGUCAUACCCAACAGGACUUGAGGCUGUAAUCACUGACAAAGGUGCUUCAACAAAUUACUGAGUAAAGGGUCUGAAUACUUAUGUAAAUGUAAUAUUUAAAUUUAAAAAAUUAAAAAUCUGUUUUUCCUUUGUCA